rnacentral:tRNA from 1 species
CGCGGGGAAGUGAAUCGGUAUCAUGAGAGGCCCAUAACCUUUAGAUCCGGGUUCAACUCCCGGCCCCGCAA